AUUGAACGCUGGCGGCAGGCCUAACACAUGCAAGUCGAGCGGAUGAAGGGAGCUUGCUCCUGGAUUCAGCGGCGGACGGGUGAGUAAUGCCUAGGAAUCUGCCUGGUAGUGGGGGAUAACGUCCGGAAACGGGCGCUAAUACCGCAUACGUCCUGAGGGAGAAAGUGGGGGAUCUUCGGACCUCACGCUAUCAGAUGAGCCUAGGUCGGAUUAGCUAGUUGGUGGGGUAAAGGCCUACCAAGGCGACGAUCCGUAACUGGUCUGAGAGGAUGAUCAGUCACACUGGAACUGAGACACGGUCCAGUCUCCUACGGGAGGCAGCAGUGGGGAAUAUUGGACAAUGGGCGAAAGCCUGAUCCAGCCAUGCCGCGUGUGUGAAGAAGGUCUUCGGAUUGUAAAGCACUUUAAGUUAGGAGGAAGGGCAGUAAGUUAAUACCUUGCUGUUUUGACGUUACCAACAGAAUAAGCACCGGCUAACUUCGUG
rnacentral:rRNA from 1 species